rnacentral:tRNA from 1 species
UGGGCCUGUAGCUCAGUUUUGGUUAGAGCGUUCGACUGAUAAUCGAGAGGUCGGAGGUUCAAGUCCUCCCAGGCCCACCAC